rnacentral:rRNA from 1 species
UGAGGAAUAUUGGUCAAUGGGCGCAAGCCUGAACCAGCCAUCCCGCGUGCAGGAAGACGGCCCUAUGGGUUGUAAACUGCUUUUCCAGGGAGAGAAACCUGCGCACGGGUUUCGCAAUUGACGGUACCCUGGGAAUAAGCAUCGGCUAACUCCGUGCCAGCAGCCGCGGUAAUACGUAGGAUGCAUGCGUUAUCCGGAUUCAUUUGGUUUAAAGGGUGCGUAGGCGGACUAUUAAGUCAGUGGUGAAAGCCUGCAGCUUAACUGCAGAACUGCCAUUGAUACUGAUAGUCUUGAGUUUGGUUAAGGUAGGCGGAAUGUGUAAUGUAGCGGUGAAAUGCUUAGAUAUUACACAGAACACCAAUUGCGUAGGCAGCUUACUGAGCCGACACUGACGCUGAGGCACGAAAGCGUGGGGAUCGAACAG